AAUUGCUGAGUCGGGGGUUGCGGGAGGACAUGAAGUUACAAUGGAAGCUCCAUGCUACUAUCAAAGAAAUUAUAAAAGGAUCAGUGCUGUUCUAAGAAACAUAAGGAUGAGUUCCCAGGAAAUAUUCAAGGAGUUAGAAGUACAAAGCUGCAAGAGCCUAUUGGGUCCAAGCCUUCCUUGCAGAUAUCUGAAAUGUUUGGAGGAGCAAAGAAGUGAAUGAACUGUAUUCAACAUCUAAGCUGGAAAAAAAAAAAAUGCAAGAUUCAGAAAAGGAAAAUACAAGCCAAGCCUCUCAUCCUCCCCAAAUAAAAUAUAUAUUUAAUAUAAUAAUAUGAACCCA
rnacentral:lncRNA from 1 species